rnacentral:tRNA from 3 species
GUCUUUAUAGCUUAAUUGGAAGAGCAUUUACCUUGUAAGUAAGGGGUUGUAGGUUCAAAUCCUGCUAAGGGCA